GACGAACGCUGGCGGCAUGCCUAAUACAUGCAAGUCGAGCGAACAGAUGAAGUGCUUGCACUUCUGACGUUAGCGGCGAACGGGUGAGUAACACGUAAGGAAUCUACCUAUAAGCGGGGGAUAACAUUCGGAAACGGGUGCUAAUACCGCAUAAUAUCUUCUUCCGCAUGGAAGAAGAUUGAAAGACGGCUCUGCUGUCACUUAUAGAUGACCUUGCGGUGCAUUAGUUAGUUGGUGGGGUAACGGCCUACCAAGGCGAUGAUGCAUAGCCGACCUGAGAGGGUGAUCGGCCACGGUGGGACUGAGACACGGCACAAACUCCUACGGGAGGCAGCAUUAGGGAAUCUUCCGCAAUGGGCGAAAGCCUGACGGAGCAAUGCCGAGUGAGUGAAGAAGGCCUUCGGGUCGUAAAACUCUGUUAUAAGAGAAGAACAAAUUGUAGAGUAACUGCUACAGUCUUGACGGUAUCUUAUCAGAAAGCCACGGCUAACUACGUGCCAGCAGCCGCGGUAA
rnacentral:rRNA from 1 species